AUUGAACGCUGGCGGCAGGCUUAACACAUGCAAGUCGAGCGAGCGGCGGACGGGUGAGUAAUGUCUGGGAAACUGCCUGAUGGAGGGGGAUAACUACUGGAAACGGUAGCUAAUACCGCAUACAAUCAGAUGUGCCCAGAUGGGAUUAGCUAGUAGGUGGGGUACUGGCUCACCUAGGCAACGAUCACUAGAUGGUCUGAGAGGAUGACCAGCCACAUGGGAACGGAGACACGGUACAGACUCUUACGGGAGGCAGCAGUGGGGAAUAUUGCACAAUGGGCGAAAGCCUGAUGCAGCCAUGCCGCGUGUGGGAAGAAGGCCUUCGGGUUGUAAAGCACUUUCAGCGAGGAGGCGUUACUCGCAGAAGAAGCACCGGCUAACUCCGUGCCAGCAGCCGCGGUAAUUC
rnacentral:rRNA from 1 species